rnacentral:rRNA from 1 species
UACGGGGGGGGCAAGCGUUGUUCGGAAUUACUGGGCGUAAAGGGCUCGUAGGCGGCCAACUAAGUCAGACGUGAAAUCCCUCGGCUUAACCGGGGAACUGCGUCUGAUACUGGUUGGCUUGAGUGUGGGAGAGGGAUGCGGAAUUCCAGGUGUAGCGGUGAAAUGCGUAGAUAUCUGGAGGAACACCGGUGGCGAAGGCGGCAUCCUGGACCAUUACUGACGCUGAGACGCGAAAGCGUGGGGAGCAAACAGG